GCCAGUGCGGUGGCCCACUCCUGUAAUCCCAGCACUUUGGGAGGCCAAAGUGGGUAGAUCACCUGAGGUCAGGAGUUCAAGACCAGCCUGGCUAAUACAGUGAAACCCCAUCUCUACUAAAAACAUAAAAAAGUUAGCUGAACGUGGUGGCAUGCACCUGUAAUCCCAGCUACUUGGGAGGCUGAGGCAGAAGAAUUGCUUGAACCCGGGAGGUGGAGGUUACAGUGAGCCGAGAUCGCGCCACACUGCACUCCAGCCUGGGCAACAGAGUCAGACUCCGUGUCAAAAAGAAAAAAGAAACGAAAAAAUUAAGUGCUGUUGGAGUUCAAUGCAGAAGAUAGAUUUUGGCCAAGGAAGAAUAAGUUCCAGGCAAAGGGAAGUGGAAUAAAUGAGCAGAGAUGAGAACGUGGGAAAUGUGUUCAGGGAAUGGGAGUAAUCCAGUGUCAGACUUGAAGGAAUAGGUGGGUUGAGAGAGCAACUGCAUGAAGAGGGGGGAAGGGGCAAGGAGAAUUUACAGUUCCUUUGCAACUCAUUUCCACUGCCACCCUUGAAGAUCCUUCUUGAGUGGUGGUGUUACAAAUGGCUGAAGCGUCCUUGCCCUGUAAUGAGAUGCCCAAAUAGAGAUCCCUUGAGCUGAGGCUAAUAAAACUUUGAUAAAGGUUUGUCUGAGAAGGAGCUGGGUAGUGGUAUCUAUGGCCUUUCUAGACUAGAAUCAACAGUUACUGCAUAUGUAUAUCAAAACAUGUUGUAGCCAUACCUAUAUACAAUUUUAAAAACACUGGAAACAAAACAAAAAAUAA
rnacentral:lncRNA from 10 species